rnacentral:rRNA from 1 species
UACAGAGGGUGCAAGCGUUGUUCGGAAUUAUUGGGCGUAAAGCGCGUGUAGGCGGCUUUGCAAGUCGGGUGUGAAAGCCCUCAGCUUAACUGAGGAAGUGCGCCCGAAACUGCUUGGCUUGAGUACCGGAGAGGAUGGCGGAAUUCCCCAAGUAGAGGUGAAAUUCGUAGAUAUGGGGAGGAACACCGGUGGCGAAGGCGGCCAUCUGGACGGAUACUGACGCUGAGACGCGAAAGCGUGGGGAGCGAACAGG